rnacentral:tRNA from 1 species
GGGUCGUUAGCUCAGUUGGUAGAGCAGUUGACUUUUAAUCAAGUGGUCGCAGGUUCGAAUCCUGCACGACCCACCA